UACGGAGGGUGCAAGCGUUGUCCGGAUUUAUUGGGUUUAAAGGGUGCGUAGGCGGGUAAUUAAGUCAGUGGUGAAAGCCGAUGGCUCAACCAUCGAGGUGCCAUUGAUACUGAGGAGCUUGAGUAUACUUGAGGUAAGCGGAAUUGACGGUGUAGCGGUGAAAUGCAUAGAUAUCGUCAAGAACACCAAUAGCGUAGGCAGCUUACUGGAGUAUAACUGACGCUGAGGCACGAAAGCAUGGGGAGCGAACAGG
rnacentral:misc_RNA from 1 species